UACGAAGGGGGCUAGCGUUGCUCGGAAUGACUGGGCGUAAAGGGCGCGUAGGCGGUUUGUACAGUCAGGUGUGAAAUUCCCGGGCUCAACCUGGGGGCUGCACUUGAUACGUAUGGACUGGAGUGGGGAAGAGGGUCGUGGAAUUCCCAGUGUAGAGGUGAAAUUCGUAGAUAUUGGGAAGAACACCGGUAGCGAAGGCGGCGACCUGGUCCUUGACUGACGCUGAGGCGCGAAAGCGUGGGGAGCGAACAGG
rnacentral:rRNA from 1 species